AGCGCAGGCGGAUGGGUCAGUUCAAAGUGGAAUCCCAGGGCUCAACCCUGGACGUGCUUUGGAUACUGCCGGUCUUGAGUUCGUGAGAGGAAAGUGGAAUUCAGGGUGUAGCGGUGAAAUGCUUGGAUAUCCUGAGGAACACCAGUGGCGAAAGCGACUUUCUGGCACGAAACUGACGCUGAGGCUCGAAAGCAUGGGUAGCGAACG
rnacentral:rRNA from 1 species